GGUGUCGUGGUGUAGUUGGUUAUCACGUCAGUCUAACACACCGAAGAUCUGCGGUUCAAACCCGGGCGACGCCA
rnacentral:tRNA from 1 species